ACCGGCACCAGGCCAGGGAGAAGAAUGUUUUAUCUGGCACCAGAUGUACUCAUGACCCAGUAUGGAAUACACUGCAGGUGCACGGCCUGUCGAGAUGCCAAAUACUAUGUUGUACGUGCUUGCUGUCCUCAGACAAAUUGCAAAAAUAAGAGGCUUGAGCCAGGGGACUGGUGCUUUGGGUUCCUGGAGAGUCUUAGGCCCCUGCUUUCGUAAUUCUCUCGUCACUGCACCUUUAGGCCCCGUGUCUCUACAGCUGGCGCCCAAACAGGGACCUGAGGGAGGAAGUGUGCAGCACUGCUGAAGAAGUGCCAAGGGAACCAAAGGGAAAUUUGGAGCCAGAAAACUCAUCCUUUGGGAUUUCUGCAGCGUAUUUAUCCUUGCAUGUGCAGUCUGGUACCGGGGACAACGAGCCUGUCAAUGUACCGAUGGACACCUCAGGUUAUACAAUGUCCUCCUACAGGCCGUUGUAUACAAACAAAAAGGGGGAGAUGUUGGAGAACAAGAAGCUGGAGGCACCGUGAGAAUGUCCUGAAGGAAAGGGACGGAGCAGCAGGAACUGAAAGCCGCCGGGACUGCACGUCCUCUCCAGAAGGGACAUCAUACCGGCACCAGGCCAGGGAUAAGAAUGUUUUGUCUGGCGCCAGACGUACUCAUGACCCAGUAUGGAAUACACUGCAGGUGCACGGCCUGUCAAGAUGCCAAAUACCAUGUUGUACGUGCUUGCUGUCAUCAGACAAAUUGCAAAAAUAAAAGAGGCUUGAGCCAGGGGACUGGUACUUCGGGC